rnacentral:rRNA from 1 species
AAGUCGUAACAAGGUCUCCGUUGGUGAACCAGCGGAGGGAUCAUUACCGAGUUUACAACUCCCAAACCCCUGUGAACAUACCAAUUGUUGCCUCGGCGGAUCAGCCCGCUCCCGGUAAAACGGGACGGCCCGCCAGAGGACCCCUAAACUCUGUUUCUAUAUGUAACUUCUGAGUAAAACCAUAAAUAAAUCAAAACUUUCAACAACGGAUCUCUUGGUUCUGGCAUCGAUGAAGAACGCAGCAAAAUGCGAUAAGUAAUGUGAAUUGCAGAAUUCAGUGAAUCAUCGAAUCUUUGAACGCACAUUGCGCCCGCCAGUAUUCUGGCGGGCAUGCCUGUUCGAGCGUCAUUUCAACCCUCAAGCCCAGCUUGGUGUUGGGACUCGCGAGUCAAAUCGCGUUCCCCAAAUUGAUUGGCGGUCACGUCGAGCUUCCAUAGCGUAGUAGUAAAACCCUCGUUACUGGUAAUCGUCGCGGCCACGCCGUUAAACCCCAACUUCUGAAUGUUGACCUCGGAUCAGGUAGGAAUACCCGCUGAACUUAAGCAUAUCAAUA